UUGCACGCUGGCGGCAGGCCUAACACAUGCAAGUCGAACGGUAACAGGAAGAAGCUUGCUUCUUUGCUGACGAGUGGCGGACGGGUGAGUAAUGUCUGGUAAACUGCCUGAUGGAGGGGGAUAACUACUGGAAACGGUAGCUAAUACCGCAUAACGUCGCAAGACCAAAGAGGGGGACCUUCGGGCCUCUUGCCAUCGGAUGUGCCCAGAUGGGAUUAGCUAGUAGGUGGGGUAACGGCUCACCUAGGCGACGAUCCCUAGCUGGUCUGAGAGGAUGACCAGCCACACUGGAACUGAGACACGGUCCAGACUCCUACGGGAGGCAGCAGUGGGGAAUAUUGCACAAUGGGCGCAAGCCUGAUGCAGCCAUGCCGCGUGUAUGAAGAAGGCCUUCGGGUUGUAAAGUACUUUCAGCGGGGAGGAAGGGAGUAAAGUUAAUACCUUGGCUCAUUGACGUUACCCGCAGAAGAAGCACCGGCUAACUCCGUG
rnacentral:rRNA from 1 species